CUUUUCUGUCAUCAUAUCAUCAUAUUAUCACAUCGUUUUCUUGGACAUCAACAAAUUUGGUAGAGAAGUUGACACUGCUACGUAUAUUUAAGGAUGCCUCCACCAUGAUUAUUUCCCUUAAAGCUAACAACUGGCUCCAUUAAAGGAGGAGUAUCAGCGCCCUCUUCUGGAUGGCAGCCACACUACGACACAGGAAGAAGGUCUAAGAGGACGUUAGGAGUUUAUCGAAUAGAACAAUUUGAAUCUAACAAACCAUUAUUCAACAAUUGAAUAAUGGUUCAAUUGUUGCCUAUUGCCUAUUAUUUGUUUUUUAACCGUAAUGUUGACCACUGAUAGGUAUAAAUAUCUCUUUUGAGCUAUUCUAGUAGCUGAUCAGACGAUACAAACUCAUUCAACUCUCCAAGCGGGUAUACGUGUUCAGGAAUAAUAGAAAAAUGGUAGUUCUCAAAACUACUACCGAAAAUAACAAGUAGGAAUAAACUCACUCUAAUGUAUACAGUUCUGUAAAUGAUAUUAACACUUUUACAAUGUGUCAUAAACUUCUUUUACUUAUGACAAGAAAUGAGACAGGCAUCUCCCAAAAGACAAUAAGACAAAGUAAAAGGAACAUCACUCUUGUA